CAAGGGGACACGCGAACACCCCGUGAGGCGACAGCCCAAGUUUCGCAUCCAUGAACCUCUACCAAAGGAAGGAUGCGUUAUG
rnacentral:ncRNA from 1 species